CUCAGGUGUCGGCGGGCGCGCGGCGUGCUCGUGGCCGCAGCCUGGUGGUCGCGCACCGGUUCUGGUCACUGCGGCGCGCCGCCGGCGCAGCGCCCGAGAGCAGCGUGGCGGUGCGCAGGGUCCGCGUCCCGGCAGCGGCGGCAGCAGGUGAGAUCCGAGCCCACGGCGGAUCCGGGUCCAUCGGGGAGGCGAGCGAGCCCGCCCGCCCAUCCUUCCCUUCGGCGGGCACAGAGGGGCGUCUCCUGCCCGCUGGGCGCCCGGCGUGGGGAGCUUCACACCGCUGGUGCGGCAGUGUUGCGGUUUGCCGGAGACGAGCCGGGUCAGGAGCCCCCAGUGUGCUUGAUUCUCCCUUAAUCUCACUUGAUUAAUCUCGGAGGCUCCUGCCCCCGGCAUCCUGCGCCCUGCCACUGUGCUUGGCUCUCCCUUUGCCCUGGUUUCAGCUGUAGCAGAGUUAAUUCUCUUCCUGCGAUCUGGUGCAGUGCUAUGUUUCGGCUUUACUCUGAGAAUAACGCUGGUAACGCACCGAUGUUUCAGCUGUUGCUCAGUCACGCUUACCCCGAGCAAGCACUUUUCGGUCCCUCGUGCUCUGCCAGUGAGGAGGGGCACAAGGAGGGAGCAGAGACAGGACACAGGACCUGAACAAGCCAAAGGCGUAUUCGAUACAUCCCACAGCACUUCGUGUUCAGUAUAGAAACUGGGGGGAGUUACCCGGAGGGUCCUUAAUUCACCUUGCAUUUUCAUUCAUAGGGAAAGGAGCCAACUUUAGAAACAAGCCAAGGAAUUUCCUAUUUCUCGCUUCCAUUCUAAAAUUGCACUUAUUUUGGAAAUGAGACUGUGUACUGUAGCUUUAAGAUGCUGAAAGGUCUGGAGACUGAAAUUCUCUCUACAUGAAAUCAGUUAGGUCUGCAGCAGCAGCAGGGCUAAUUGCCCUCCUUUUGUUCUGCAAAUAGACCUUGAUGUGUUGUGCCUUGGUGGACCCCAGCUAAUCACAGCUUUUCUGUUGAGACUGUCAGCAAGGAUUUCAGUUGCUGUUGCUGCUUUCCUGCUUUCCCCCGGUUUGGACACCUGUCUUGCUACAAUGAAGUCAUUAGGUUUCUUCAUAAAAGCUUACUAUUCUAGAUGCAGAGACACUGUUGUGAGGUAGCUGAUCCAGAUGGCGAUCUGUGUUGCAAGGUGCUUGUAGCAGGAGGCACAUUGAGUUACCAGACUGGGUGGCUUUAGGGCUUCUCUAGUUUAUGCCAAGUCAUUUCAAGUCUCAGUCUGUUGAGACCAGGCAAAAUCUUUAUUUGCUCUGCUGCUCAUUUGCCCUGGUCAUCGAGCUGAAGGCUUUAGAUCUAGGAGCAGUUGAUCUAAGGCUUGUUCACAUAAUUUUAUGCCAUGAAAAUUAUGCUGUUUAAAAAUUAAACGGACUUUAUCUCAUUAAAACUCUACAAAUGCCCUUUAAAUCCUAGUGCUUGUAAUGUAUGAGGUAGCUAUGGAUGGCCCAGUACCCAGCCUAUGCGUACAGCACCCUUCAGUACGAAAUAUAUAUGACCUUAUUGGUCACUCCGUACGGCUGAAAAUGAGUGUAGUGUCACAGGAAGUUAUUUGAGAAUGAAUUGAAAAUGUUCCAGGACUUGUUUCUGGGGAAAUCUCUCGUUUCUAGAUUGUCCUGGUGCUCUGUGGCCAGGCUCCUGGCUGUGUGUUGUCUGUGCAGGUGUCUAGCAGGCUCCUUGCUUCAUCACGGAGUCACGUUCUGCACUGAAGUGACUUAGUUACUGUUGUAGCUCAGCACAGGCCCUCGCUAAUGGCUGCAGUCACUGUGAGUGCUGGUUUUCAUACAUACUUUUUUUGCAGGGGAUUGCCUCUUCUAUGAAACACUUGCAUGGGAUUUCUACAUUAAAAAAAUACACAACUGUUUUGAUUUCCCCUUUAUUUGCCUGUGAUGACCAGGAAGAAGAAGAAGAAUGCCUAGGAGAGACAGGUAAAGAAGAGCAGGGGGAAGAAACAAGACCAGAAAAGCAGUGCAGAAGAUGCCAGUGAAGAGCAGGGAGAAGAGAAGCAGCAGCCUCCAGCAGGUCAGGCAAGAAACUGCCCCUCCCAGAGCAGAGUCCCAGAAAAAGGAAGAAGGCGGGAAGUUGGAGUCUCGGGAUCACAAAGGAAAUAGAGAAACUGCGAAAGAGGAAGAACCAUCCAAAAGUUCCGGUGACAGCACAGUUACCGAAAUGGAGGAAGGGAAGAAGAUCAAAGCACCCAAGAAGCAGAAGCUUGUCCAGGAGAUCCCCAUGGAACUAGGUGUAAAUGAUGUGCCUGACCUGCUGGAGGACGAACUGAAGAGCUUGAUGAAAAAGGAUGUUUGAAAUGGCUCUGCUGGGUUAAAGCUUCAGACUCGCAGACUUAACGAUCAGAGAUCUAGAGAAACAGGAAAGAGAGAAGUCCGCCAACAGCUUGGGAGUCAUUCAUCUUUGAGACCCAGGAGAAGCUUUGUCAAGAGGAGCAUAGGUUCGUCUCAUCAGGGGAGCAGAGAGAAGACAUUUCCAGAAAGCUUAGCGAGGCUUCCAGCUGGAUGGAGGAGGAGGGCUCUGCAGCUGCAACUAAGAUACUGCUGUGUGUAUUCAGGAUACCAGGUGCUGUCCUUUACAUGGAAAUGACCGCACGGGCUGACUGAGGAUCGAUCCACCUCGAUCCUUUGUAAUCUCGUUUUUUGCAAGUCUCCCGCUUCUCUAGCAUUUUGCACAGAAUAAAACACAAAGUUCUUGCAGUUGUGGAUGAGCAGCUUGAGCAGUAACUGCAGAAGUAACUCCCUGUCCUGCCGCCCAUCCUUCUCCACCUUUUUCUUUUACCCCCAUCUCUGUCCCACUCCCUAUCUUUCACUUUGUCCUGCCUCCCUGUGCAUUUUUUAAUCUCUCUGUAUCGCCGUGUCCUGGUCCUUGUCUCUGUCUUUCUUUUCCUUCUGCCCUGAUACUUCUUUCCACCUCUGUCCUGCUCACUCUCCCUCUGUCCUGCUUCCUGCCCGCGUUACUUCUGUCUCUCCUUCUCUGCCUGCUGCCUGUCCCCUCAUUCCUUGUUAUGCCUCCCCAUCCAGCUGCCUCUCCCUUUUUCCCUUUCUCUCCUCCUGUGUCCUGCUCCCUGGCCUCUUUUCUCUCUUCCUCCAUCUCUGUUCUCUGGCCCAUUUCUGGUUUUAGGUUUUUUUCCUUCUUGGUCACUUACAGAUCUGACCCUUUCUUUAUUUCUUGAUCUGUUUGUCCUCUUCCCUCUCUCCUUUUUCUCUCUCUCUCUGCAUGCCCUGUGCCCCGCCACUUUCCUCGUCUCUCCGUUCUUCUUCCUCUCCUUUCCCGCCCCCACCUCUUUAUACCCAUGUGCUGCACCCUCCGUUUUCUUGCUCCGUCUCUUUCUUUCACUGACCGUACCAAAGAUGGUGCAAAAUACUUUUUUCCUCUGCUCAAAAUACUUUUUCCCUCUCCCAGUCGUAGCUUUCACAAAAAAAGGAAGCUUUAGACUCUGUCGUGGUUUAAGCCCAGCCAGCAACCCAGAACCACGCAGCAGCUCACACACUCCGUCCCUUCUUCCUCCCCCGCCCCGCUCCCGGAGUGGUGGGGAGGAGAAUCAUAAGAAUGUAAAUCCCACAGAUUGAGAUAAGAACAGUCCAGUAACUAAGGUACAAUACAAAACUACUACUGCUACCACCAAUAACAAGAAUGAUAAGGGAAAUAACAAGGGGAAAGAAUAUAAAAUUAAAAGGGGAAAAGGAAAAGAAAACAAUAAACACAAGUGAUGCACAAUGCAGUCGCUCACCACCCACCGACGAAUACGCAGCCCGACCUGAGCAGCAAUCUGGGCCUUCCAGGUAACUCCCCCUCAGUUUCUAUACUGGGCAUGACGUGCUGUGGUAUGGGUUACCCCUUUGGCCACUUUGGGUCAGGUGUCCUGUCUCUGCUUUCUCCCAGUUUCCCGUGCCCCUCCUCACUGGCAGAGCAUGAGACUGAAAAAGUCCUUGAUCAGAGUAAGCAUUACUUAGCAACAACUAAAAGCAUCGGUGUGUUAUCAGCGUUGUUCUCAGACUGAAGUCGAAAAUGCAGCACUGCAGCAGCUACUAAGAAGGAAAAAAAUAACUGUUACAGCUGAACCCAGGACAGGCUCCCACCCAGCUUGAUGGUAAAGGUUUUGGUUUUGGGGUACUUUUUCCCUCUCCCAGCUGGAUGUCAACUGCCACCGUUUCACCACAGUCACUCUUUCUUUUGCCAUGGAAGGACAAAACUGAGGGAAGAAUCCGUUGUGGUCUGCGAUGCAAGGUAUGUCUAUGAUGUGUGUCUGCGCUUUUCCUAAGAUGCUUGUAGCAUGGGCUUUAAAGAUAAAAGAACGUGCCCACUCUCCUCCUCUGUUUUUUUCUAUGAAAGAUUUAAAGACAAAUAUUUAACAUAAGGUCUGUUGCGGAGUGUGUUGCGCCUCUGCAAAGCUUCUUUUAGUUUUCUCUUCCUGAAAGAAGUGUCUGUGCAGUUAACUGUCAAAUGAUAGCGAGAAAAUAGUUUUGCAAUAAAAGAGGAAAGGAACUGUU